rnacentral:tRNA from 1 species
GAGGGUAUAGCUCAGUGGUACAGCGCAUGCUUAGCAUGCACGAGGUCCUGGGUUCAAUCCCCAGUCCCUCCA